UCAGCAGGCAGAUCCAAUUUUCUGCCACCGAAUACAUUAGCAUGGGAUAAUGGAAUAGGACCCUGUCCUCCUAUUUUCAGUUGGUUUUGGCAGCGCGAGGACUAGGGUAAUGAUUAAUAGGGAUAGUUGGGGGCAUUAAUAUUUAAUUGUCAGAGGUGAAAUUCUUGGAUUUAUGAAAGAUUAACUUCUGCGAAAGCAUCUGCCAAGGAUGUUUUCAUUAAUCAAGAACGAAAGUUAGGGGAUCGAAGACGAUCAGAUACCGUCGUAGUCUUAACCAUAAACGAUGCCGACCAGCGAUUAGGAGACGUUGAAUACAAAACACCACCAUCGGCGCGGUCGUCCUUGGCGUCUGUCCCUUUCAACGGGGGCAGGCGCGAGGGCGGUUUAGCCCGGUGGCACCGGUGAA
rnacentral:rRNA from 1 species